rnacentral:rRNA from 1 species
CUUUGCUGACGAGUGGCGGACGGGUGAGUAAUGUCUGGGAAACUGCCUGAUGGAGGGGGAUAACUACUGGAAACGGUAGCUAAUACCGCAUAAUGUCGCAAGACCAAAGAGGGGGACCUUCGGGCCUCUUGCCAUCGGAUGUGCCCAGAUGGGAUUAGCUUGUUGGUGGGGUAACGGCUCACCAAGGCGACGAUCCCUAGCUGGUCUGAGAGGAUGACCAGCCACACUGGAACUGAGACACGGUCCAGACUCCUACGGGAGGCAGCAGUGGGGAAUAUUGCACAAUGGGCGCAAGCCUGAUGCAGCCAUGCCGCGUGUAUGAAGAAGGCCUUCGGGUUGUAAAGUACUUUCAGCGGGGAGGAAGGGAGUAAAGUUAAUACCUUUGCUCAUUGACGUUACCCGCAGAAGAAGCACCGGCUAACUCCGUGCCAGCAGCCGCGGUAAUACGGAGGGUGCAAGCGUUAAUCGGAAUUACUGGGCGUAAAGCGCACGCAGGCGGUUUGUUAAGUCAGAUGUGAAAUCCCCGGGCUCAACCUGGGAACUGCAUCUGAUACUGGCAAGCUUGAGUCUCGUAGAGGGGGGUAGAAUUCCAGGUGUAGCGGUGAAAUGCGUAGAGAUCUGGAGGAAUACCGGUGGCGAAGGCGGCCCCCUGGACGAAGACUGACGCUCAGGUGCGAAAGCGUGGGGAGCAAACAGGAUUAGAUACCCUGGUAGUCCACGCCGUAAACGAUGUCGACUUGGAGGUUGUGCCCUUGAGGCGUGGCUUCCGGAGCUAACGCGUUAAGUCGACCGCCUGGGGAGUACGGCCGCAAGGUUAAAACUCAAAUGAAUUGACGGGGGCCCGCACAAGCGGUGGAGCAUGUGGUUUAAUUCGAUGCAACGCGAAGAACCUUACCUGGUCUUGACAUCCACGGAAGUUUUCAGAGAUGAGAAUGUGCCUUCGGGAACCGUGAGACAGGUGCUGCAUGGCUGUCGUCAGCUCGUGUUGUGAAAUGUUGGGUUAAGUCCCGCAACGAGCGCAACCCUUAUCCUUUGUUGCCAGCGGUCCGGCCGGGAACUCAAAGGAGACUGCCAGUGAUAAACUGGAGGAAGGUGGGGAUGACGUCAAGUCAUCAUGGCCCUUACGACCAGGGCUACACACGUGCUACAAUGGCGCAUACAAAGAGAAGCGACCUCGCGAGAGCAAGCGGACCUCAUAAAGUGCGUCGUAGUCCGGAUUGGAGUCUGCAACUCGACUCCAUGAAGUCGGAAUCGCUAGUAAUCGUGGAUCAGAAUGCCACGGUGAAUACGUUCCCGGGCCUUGUACACACCGCCCGUCACACCAUGGGAGUGGGUUGCAAAAGAAGUAGGUAGCUUAACCUUCGGGAGGGCGCUUACCACUUUGUGAUUCAUGACUGGGGUGAAGUCGUAACAAGGUAACCGUAGGGGAACCUGCGGUUG